UCAGCUGCUCGUCUUCAGGCGGUGGACUCCGCCCACAGCCAGCGGAUGUCCUCCUCCUGCCGCUCCAGGCGCGAAACCACGGCUCCGCCGCCAGGGUCUCCGCCGCCAUGAUCCCACCUCCCACAGAUGGAGAAAGUGAAGCACAGAAAGGCUAAGUGACUUGACCAAGGCCACACCAGAGCCACAUGACAUAGCUGAGACUCACUCUCAUAAAGCAGAGUUUGAAUAAACAUCAUCAGCAACUGGCAGAAUCCCCGUGGGGGUUCCCUGACCCACAGACUGAAGGCUCUUCUAGUAAGAAGGGCCAGGUGGAAGGCACUGAAAUUUUCUCGACCUUCAAAAGAAGUACAGCAAAACCAACACCAUGUUCCUGGAGGAAGGGCAGAGAUGACCGCCACCCUCAAGGACUUGAAAGGUGCAGGUGUGUGAUUCUCACCACACCUCCGUUUACCUCACCUAUUGAGCUCGUGUCGAUGACAAACCCGUGUUGAAGGAUUACAGUGGAUGAUCCUAAAUUUGGUUAGAUGGUGACCCUAGUCACAGCUGCUCUUCCAGGCGUGCUAACAUUGGUGGAGUCUAGCAACAUAACCUCUGACAUCUCACAUGCAGCUGUGGACCUGGCUAUUGCUUUUUUCUCUAUACCUGUUAGUUAAAGGCCAUCAAAAGUAGUUUUCUUUCAGCUGGCAAGACUAGCAUUUAUGUGCAUGUGUAUAUGUGUACAUGUAUGUCCACACAUGUAUUUCCUCAUACUCUGUGCUGAAGGGGUCAAGAAGCAGGCAUACCCAGCAGCAGUGAGCACACUCAGCAUCAAGAUCUUGGCCUGUAAUACCAUUGCUCACCAAAGGAAGCAGGGCUUCUGGGAGAAAGGGCUGAUUCCAGGACUGGAGCCCACGAAGUUUCAAGAUAAGCCUGGAGCACCUUGUUUUGCUAGAAAGCAAGAAAGUGCCCACCACCACCCCCAAAAUGAUGGAAGCAUGUCACCAGGACACAGGAACCGGCUUGGAGGGGCUCCCACUGGCCACACCUGGGACCACUUGAACAUCAAAAAUAAUUAAGUUCAGUUGUGAACAAUAAAGCAUUGAAAAAUACAGGAAUUCAUACUGAUAAUCCUGCUAAAUGGUAAAUGCAGAGGUAAAUGUGGAUUUGAAAAAUAUCACUUUGCCAGCAUCACAGAGAGAUCAGGUCAGGCAAGAAUACUCUAGGGAGAAGCUUUGAGAAGCAGCAGGGUACUUUUAUGGUUGUGAAGUGUCUCCCUGUAGAAUGUUGAUUAGUUGCAAGGGAGAGGACAAAAAGGAAUUAUACGAUCGAGAAAUCAUGCAAUACUUGAUCAAAAUUAACAUCACCUGUGAGAAACAGGUGGCCAUCACGCAUCCCCUGAAUGCAUGAUCUCAGUAUAACCGCAAGGAAACAGCGGAUAAAUACAAAGUGAGGAACACAGUGUUAACAACAUGGGGAUGAUUGGGGAGGAGGAGCUUUUCUUCAAAAAUGUCGAUAUCAUAAACAAUAAUGUCUGUAGAAAUGUUCCAGGUUAAAGGAGGCUAAAAAGCCAUGAUGAGUAAAUGCAACACCGACCCCAGAUUGGACCCUGAGGGUGAAAAGCAAUAAAGGGCAUUAUUAGGUUGACCAGACAGAACUGGAACAGGAAUGGAAUAUCAGACAAGGCUAUUAAUGUGAAUUUAUGAGGUUGAUAACUGUCUUCAGGUUAUUGAAGGGAUUAUCUCCUUUCUCAGCAAAAACAAGCGGAAGAAUUUCGGGGAGAAGUGUCAUGAUGUCUAUUACAUCCAAAUAGUUCAGAAAAAAAACACACUGCAGAGGGAGAGAGAACAAAUGUUAGCAUAGGAAAUGUUCACAGCCUCAAAUGCGAGGCAUCUGAAAAUGAGUACUGGCUCCGAAAGCAUCUUUCAGACUCUCUCCCCCAGGGAAAGCCCUCGGGAGCUCUCUAUGGCAGACGGAGGGAAAUCCAAAUUUCUUUUCAGGACCAUAUAGGCUGGCCAGAUUGAGCUCAGGACUGAUGACCUUUCUGUCACUGCCCCAGAACCCCAUGCUCUCCAAGCCCACGUGCAGCUUCAUGGAGCCCCAAGGUGCAUCCCUCUCUCUCCUGCUCUGGGAUUUGCACACUCGGAGUCUCAGCCUGAUAAUGGCUCCCGUCCACUCUUAAGAUCCGACUUCUUUUCAUCUUGGAGGUUGUCACUUAAGGGCCCACCUCUCCACUCUAUUUAAGGUCUCCCCACCCCCAUUUUCUCUCAGCAUCUUUUUCAGCUUUGUUGUAAUUACUUCAUUUCUGUGUCACCUGAUUUUUUUCUCUCCCUACCUGUGCCUUUUCUCCAAGGAGGGAAGUUGUCUGUCUUGGUCACUGUUAUUUUGUAUCACGCACCAGCGCAAAGUGGGUGUCCCAGGAGAAUCUUGAAGUAAGAACAGCCUGUGGAGGCAGUAAAAUGAUCGAGAGGGGCAGGCACUGAUGAAGAAGGGGUGUACAGAGGAUCUUUAGGGCAGUGAAGCUACUCUCUGUGAUGCUAUAACGAUGGAUACGCAUCAUGACACAUUUGUCGAAACCCAUAGAAUGGACACCACCAGGAGGGCACCCUAAUGUGGCCCUUGGACUCUGGGGGGCAAGGAUGAGUCAACGUAGGUGCAUAAUUGUAACCAAUGUGCCACUCGGGUAGGGGACAUUGAUAGUGGGGGAGGCUGUGAGUGGACGGGGCCGGGGGUAAAUGGAAAAUUUCUGUGCUUUCUGUCAACUUUGUGGUGAACCUAAAACUGCUCGAGAAAGAUAAGUUAAAAAAGAGAAAGUGGCCGAGAGACUACAAAAUACCACCAGAUGGUGCUGAUUCCCUUGGAAGUAUCAGUGUGGGGCACACGCCCUUCGAUGCUGGUGUUGAGAGUGGUCGGGAUUCUGUGACUUCUGGUCCAGUUCUUGGGAGACUCCAAGUGCUUCACAGGAUUGUCACAGUGCAGCCCCUGGGUUUGUGCUUUCAAUGGAUGCUUUAGAACGUCAAGUUUAUUGGUAUUGAGGCAGGACGAGGCCACCAGAUCAGGAGAACGCUGCUGUUGAAAAGGUAGUUUGUUACAUCCCCCAUGAGGAGUGGUUGCUUUGCUCCAGGCCUGGUGGGGCCACGUAGGGAGGCACCAGGGGGCAGAAGGAGCAGGAGGAAAAGGUGGGUUCAAGUCUUUACUGUGGUUUCUGCUGGAAGGAAUGGACAAGGCAGGGUAAACAAGCUUAGGAUGAGCCAGUUUGAAAUCUUUCAGUGGGCUGUUUUCUGGUACCUGGCCCUGGAUUAGGGCAUGUGGAGAGUGGCCCCAAGUGUGAGAGCCCCAUAAAGGAGGUAUUUGGGGGUGUGGGCUCUGGAUUGGCUGGCUUGCCUGUGAAAGUCAUGCUUGCAGGCGAGUCCUUUGUCCUCUCUAGGAACUGGCUACCCCUCGAGAGGCAAUCUCUUCAGAGUUAGCAAGGCCCCAAGAUGGUAAAACAUCAGAAACACAUGGUUAUAUGAUAUCACUUAUAUG